rnacentral:rRNA from 1 species
UACGUAGGUGGCAAGCGUUGUCCGGAUUUAUUGGGUUUAAAGGGUGCGUAGGCGGUUUUCUAAGUCAGCAGUGAAAUACGGCAGCUCAACUGUCGAGGUGCUGUUGAUACUGGGGAACUUGAGUACUGAUGAGGUAGGCGGAAUGGACGGUGUAGCGGUGAAAUGCUUAGAGAUCGUCCAGAACACCGAUAGCGAAGGCAGCUUACUAAGGAGUAACUGACGCUGAGGCACGAAAGUGUGGGGAGCAAACAGG